ensembl:lncRNA
GCCCAGCCAUGGGGAAGGGAUGAGCUGGAAGUGAGGCCCAGCCAUGGGGAAGGGGUGAGCUGGCAGUGAGGCCCAGCCAUGGGGAAGGGGUGAGCUGGCACUAGACAGAAGGCCUUAUGUAGGUGCAAUGAUCAGUGGGAAUGGAAAACAGGUAUAUGUGAUGAACAGGGACAGUCCGGGGUGAAGGUGAUUAGCCUGUACAGUCAUGCCUAGUAGGCCAGAGACGUAGUCCGUGAGCUGGUGCACCAGGGGGAUUUGUGACACAGCAGUCAAACCAUCUUUCUUUUCUGAUUGGAAGGUGUUGUCUCAGGAAACAAGACACCAUAAAACAGGUCAAACAUGAUCUUUAAUUAAGCAGGUUUUGCAUGAGCGCAGUUUCAAAUGUUCUUUUAAUAAUCUUAAUAAUAAUAAGUUUUAUAUCACUUUUGGUUUAAAAUCAAACAAUUGCUGUUUGGUUUAAGUGCAAACUGCCAGCUUUAAUUUCAUGUAAUUGUAUCCACAUUAGAUGAAUCAUUUAGAAAUUGCAGCAAGUUUUGAAUAAAGUGACACAAUUUUACGUUAUUUGGCUUCAAUUGUUCAUCCAUAAGAGAGCUUUCAUUGACGAGUCUUGAGUCUAGGCUUUGCAUUUGGAGUCUGAUGUCGGUGUCUUGAAACAUGAGGACCAAAAUAAAUGUCAGUCUAAGUAAACCUGUCAAUCUUGAAGUAAAUCUGAAUAAAUCAGACACAUUGCCAAGGCAUUAGAAAGUCCAAAAUCACAUAUGGUACAUUAAGAAGAAGAUAGUAAGCACUGGUGAGCUUAGUAAUGGCACAAAUAAUGAAGCCAAAAGAACUUGAACAUUCUACAGGUGGUUGGAACAGAUAUGUGAAGGUUUACAGUAUGCACAGGAGAAACACCAGCAAAACAUUAGAUGUGGCAGGACCCAAGGUAAUAUAUUUUUUGUAAUUGUUUUAUAAGUUUGUUAGGUGGUAACCAGUAGGGGGUGAAUGAUUAUGUGUAUUAUGUAUUGAAUUGUAUUCUACAUGUUGUUUAAGUUUCUAUAGUCAUGUGAGAAUAUGGUGAGAACACCUACUCGCUGAACCAUUCAAUUUAGUAGACCGGGAACACAGUAUAAAGGGCGCCAGUUUCCAGCUGCCUGUGUUGUUGGUUACGUCUCACUUCCUUGGUUGCUACCUAUCGGUAUGUACAAUUGAUGUUUGAAUAAAAAUCAGCAUGAUUUGGUAUACCACACCAUUGCUUUGGCCUCUUUGUUUACUGCAUCAUCCAGCCGCUAAAGGGUCAUUCUAACAGUAACUAAUGUUAUUCUGUCCAAAUACAUUUGUACUUUAACAUGGGGUAUAAUUGCAUGUCACUUUGGGGACAAAAAUGUAUACUAAAUUUGAGCGUCAAUACCCAAGAGGAUAGUAUUUGGCCAAAAUACCAUUGCUAAGGGCUUUUCUUAGGCACAAUGAAUGCACAUCACUUUGUGAUGCAUGAGACUUAAGGCUCACCUCUUUCUGCUAAACGGGCCGAGAAGAUAAAUAUCUGCAGAUCAGUGUCUGAUGAGAGACCUUUUCUUGUAAACAAGUUCCUCUUUCAUUGAAUAAGAUGAUGUUUACUGUAGUAGCUCUUAGGUCAAAAGGGUGAGCAAAACCACACUUAAAAAACCACAACUGAGCCAAAAAAGGGAUGUGGGCGACAUCUGAAAACUUUCCCAACAGAGAGAGAUCAGGGUGGUUACAAUGAGAGUUGUUAUUGCUCUCACGAUAGAGAGAAUAAAUGACCAAGUGUAUUGUUGUUUAAAUAAAAUAUGCAAUAUAAUAAUGUUUCAUGUAGAAAAGUAAAACUAAAUUAGUCAGUGCUGCAGCAAAAUGUGUGAUAAGCCAGAGACACAUCUUGUCCAGUUUGCUAGGUACCAUUCAUUGCAAUGGACCCCAUUCAGGUGCUGGAGACCCUUCUGCAGUGCAUGGGUCCAAUCUGCAGGGCAUGGAUCCCUUCUGCAGGGCAUGGAUCCCUUUUGCAGGGCACAGUCCCCUGAUGUAGUGCCUGAAUCCCUUCUGCAGGGCAUGGAUCCCUGCCCAAAGUCAGAUGACAACCAGGAACCACGGAGUCAUGUGCUUAUAGAGGAUGACCACAAUCAUUGCUCAUUGCUUGGAUCGCAUAAUCUGGUCCCUGUCAGCGUGUGUGAUGGGGAAGUGGUGAGCUGACAGUGAAGCCCAGCCACGGGGAAGGGGUGAGCUGGCAGUGAGGCCCAGCCAUGGGGAAGGGUUGAGCUGACGGUGAAGCCCAGCCAUGGGGAAGGGUUGAGCUGACGGUGAAGCCCAGCCAUGGGGAAGGGUUGAGCUGACGGUGAAGCCCAGCCAUGGGGAAGGGUUGAGCUGACGGUGAAGCCCAGCCAUGGGGAAGGGUUGAGCUGACGGUGAAGCCCAGCCAUGGGGAGGUGGGGAGCUGGCAGUUCAAUUAAAAUAUGUUGAACUGGUUCAAAUCGUUCACUCAUAAGUGUAAUGAUUGUUGUGGGAAAUACCUCUAGUGGACCCAAGCAACUAAACUCAGGGUGUAAUGCAGGUAUCAGGACUGAGGCAAGGCCGGGGGGGGUGAGGGCUGGGCUGGUAGGCGGGGUAGUAGGGUUGGCCAGAGGGGUAAGGCAGACAGGGCGGCGGGGAUGGCAGGCAGCAUGGGCAGAGCAGGUAGGCUGGCGGGCAGGCAGGAGGACGAGGUUGUAGGCAUGAUGUGGUGGAUCUCUGAA